ensembl:snRNA U6 U6 spliceosomal RNA
GCGCUUGCUUCAGCAGCACACAUACUAAACUUGGAAUGAUACGAGAUUAGCAUGGCCCCCUCGCAAGGGUAACAUGUACAUUCACGGGGUGCUCCAUUUUUUG